rnacentral:lncRNA from 1 species
AAUUACAUUGUCACCUACAAAAGGAAAUAUUAAUGAAACGCUUCGUCAGUUGGCGGAACAAAUUUGCGGAGGAUGGCUGCCACAUCGACAUUGUUUUCUACCCACAUCGGAAGUCGAAUGACAAGUUUUGGCGUUUCCUUCACAAGGGCAAGUGUUGGAGGACAAAUUUCUGGUGGGAAAACCUUCACUAUGUUGCGGUGAACGAUAUUCAAGUACGGGUUCGUCCCAAACGUUAACUCCCGCAAAAUUUUAGUAUUCAUUAUCACUUUACCACUCAAUUCUAAAAACCAACCAAAAGGAGUCUUCGAAAUCAGUGACCAUUGAUCAUCUGUCAAGUGUUCGUUCAACGUGCAAACAUACAUGGUUGAAAAAUAGUGACGCACCGUCAAUUGCUCAACCAAAACAAAUCAAAUGUAAACACAGAACCAAAUUAGAAACAAACCUAAAAAGGGUCGAAAAACCCACAAAGAAACCAAAAACAAAGAACACAAGACCCCAAAACAAUUACACAAAACACAAAAACGCACUACCCUUACCACAACAUCAACGAUGACGAACACAAAUCAAAAACCCAAAACAAAAAAACACUAAACCCUCACCACAACAUCCACAACGCAAGACCACAAAUCAAAAAUCCAAAACCCAACAACGCAAACCCAAAACCCAACAACGCAAAACAAAAACCCAAAAGUCGAACAACACAAAAACCCAAGUACCCUAACAAAAAACCCAAAACCCAACAAUGCAUUUACCUUCCUACAACGAAGCUGUUGUUCAGGACUUUCCAUUUCCACCAAACGCCAACAACGGGGAACCAAAAACCAAACGUCACACAGACCAAGCAGGGGGCAACCACAAGGCAGGGAAGAACGAAAUGAGAGAGAGAACGAAAUCUAAGACAAAACGCAAUGGAACAGGCAAAGGGCAUAUUUGGAAUAGAAAAUUUUCCAAACUCUAUUCAUUUUGAUUCACAAAUUUAAAAAAAAAAAAAAAAACCAACCAAUGCCAGCUUGACACGUGUGUGUGUCAAAACCAUGUCAAAAAAGUUGUGUUAAAAUACCGGCAUCUAAAAUAUACGUAGAGACGUUUUCCAUUGUAAGACGUGUGAUCCUAUCAUCAGGUUUUUGCAUUUCAGUGCUCAUAAAGCAAGACACGUGCACUCCAUAAAAUGUGCCAAGUAAUCGUGCUCUCUUACCUCACACCAUAAUAAAAACAUUAACAAAAUCAAUCUAACAUAUUUUAAUAAAUGAAAAAAAGAAAAUAAAGAACAAAAAAGAUGAGAUUGAUUUCCACGGCACACGAAUUGUCCACGGAAUGGCUUACAAUCCUUAGCCAUUAAGGCAAACACACUGACUUUGACAAAGGCAGAGACAGAGAAGAAGAACUCAAUAAAUAUGACAAUAAUUAAUUAAUUAAUUAAUAAUUCAGUUUCUUCUACCUUCUCUCCUUUAAUUUCCAUCUUCUAGUGGAUUCCAACUCUCUCUUUGUCUUUUUCUUCUUCUUCCAAAUCAAAUAUGCAAAAUAUCAUUUCACUAAGCAAACACUAACACGCAUUCUUAAUUAUAAACUAAACCAAAUUAGGGUUCCCAUUUCUCAUUACUAUUAUUUUACCAAAUAAACUAUAUUCUUCCAUUGCC